GAUGAACGCUGGCGGCGUGCCUAAUACAUGCAAGUCGAGCGAACAGACGAGGAGCUUGCUCCUCUGACGUUAGCGGCGGGCGGGUGAGUAACACGUGGAUAACCUACCUAUAAGACUGGGAUAACUUCGGGAAACCGGAGCUAAUACCGGAUAAUAUAUUGAACCGCAUGGUUCAAUAGUGAAAGACGGUUUUGCUGUCACUUAUAGAUGGAUCCGCGCCGCAUUAGCUAGUUGGUAAGGUAACGGCUUACCAAGGCAACGAUGCGUAGCCGACCUGAGAGGGCGAUCGGCCACACUGGAACUGAGACACGGUCCAGACUCCUACGGGAGGCAGCAGUAGGGAAUCUUCCGCAAUGGGCGAAAGCCUGACGGAGCAACGCCGCGUGAGUGAUGAAGGUCUUCGGAUCGUAAAACUCUGUUAUUAGGGAAGAACAAAUGUGUAAGUAACUAUGCACGUCUUGACGGUACCUAAUCAGAAAGCCACGGCUAACUACGUG
rnacentral:rRNA from 1 species